rnacentral:rRNA from 1 species
UACGUAGGGAGCAAGCGUUGUCCGGAUUUAUUGGGCGUAAAGAGCGUGUAGGCGGCCAGGUAGGUCCGUUGUGAAAACUCGAGGCUCAACCUCGAGACGUCGAUGGAAACCAUCUAGCUAGAGUCCGGAAGAGGAGAGUGGAAUUCCUGGUGUAGCGGUGAAAUGCGCAGAUAUCAGGAAGAACACCCGUGGCGAAGGCAGCUCUCUGGUACGUGACUGACGCUGAGACGCGAAAGCGUGGGGAGCGAACAGG